AGUGAACGCUGGCGGUAGGCCUAACACAUGCAAGUCGAACGGCAGCACAGGAGAGCUUGCUCUCUGGGUGGCGAGUGGCGGACGGGUGAGGAAUACAUCGGAAUCUACUCUGUCGUGGGGGAUAACGUAGGGAAACUUACGCUAAUACCGCAUACGACCUACGGGUGAAAGCAGGGGACCUUCGGGCCUUGCGCGAUUGAAUGAGCCGAUGUCGGAGUAGCUAGUUGGCGGGGGAAAGGCCCACCAAGGCGACGAUCCGUAGCUGGUCUGAGAGGAUGAUCAGCCACACUGGAACUGAGACACGGUCCAGACUCCUACGGGAGGCAGCAGUGGGGAAUAUUGGACAAUGGGCGCAAGCCUGAUCCAGCCAUACCGCGUGGGUGAAGAAGGCCUUCGGGUUGUAAAGCCCUUUUGUUGGGAAAGAAAUCCAGCUGGCUAAUACCCGGUUGGGAUGACGGUACCCAAAGAAUAAGCACCGGCUAACUUCGUGCCAGCCGCCGCGGUAA
rnacentral:rRNA from 1 species